CAGUCGCCGCGGUAAUACCGAGGGUGCGAGCGUUAAUCGGAUUUACUGGGCGUAAAGCGUGCGUAGGCGGCUUUUUAAGUCGGAUGUGAAAUCCCUGAGCUUAACUCAGGAAUUGCAUUCGAUACUGGGAAGCUAGAGUAUGGGAGAGGAUGGUAGAAUUCCAGGUGUAGCGGUGAAAUGCUUAGAGAUCUGGAGGAAUACCGAUGGCGAAGGCAGCCAUCUGGCCUAAUACUGACGCUGAGGUACGAAAGCAUGGGGAGCAAACAGGAUUAGAUACCCCCGUAGUCCCUGUCUCUUAUAC
rnacentral:rRNA from 1 species